rnacentral:rRNA from 1 species
CAGUAGCCGCGGUAAUACAGAGGGUGCGAGCGUUAAUCGGAUUUACUGGGCGUAAAGCGUGCGUAGGCGGCUUCUUAAGUCGGAUGUGAAAUCCCUGAGCUUAACUUAGGAAUUGCAUUCGAUACUGGGAAGCUAGAGUAUGGGAGAGGAUGGUAGAAUUCCAGGUGUAGCGGUGAAAUGCGUAGAGAUCUGGAGGAAUACCGAUGGCGAAGGCAGCCAUCUGGCCUAAUACUGACGCUGAGGUACGAAAGCAUGGGGAGCAAACAGGAUUAGAGACCCCUGUAGUCCCUGUCCUUAUACA